AUCUGGGCGGCGGAAUUCACGAUGGCUGGCGUGCUCCGCGCGUCGGUCGUUUGAUAUUUCCGUCGCCAAUUAACCGCAGACGUCGCGACCUGUUCGCGGUCGGUCCCUGCUCGGAGGAGCCGCGUUCGAGCUCGUUGUGUGCGCGUUUCGGCGUGUCACCGGCGAAGGCGCGGAUCUCUGGCUGGCCGUCGGACAGUAUGCUUAACGGUGUCCGGUGUCGUCGUCUCGUACGCGCGGCAUCGGUACCGGUCAGCGACGAAUUCUUCGGGCCUCUUUCCGACCCGUCUUGAAACACGGACCAAGGAGUCUAACAUGCGCGCGAGUCGCGGGGUAUCGAGCGUACUUCGGUGCGUUCGUUAUGUUGCGAAACCCGUACAUGUUGAAGGCGUAAUGAAAGUGAAUGGGGAAGAUGGUGUUCCGAGUACACGUUCCGCGAUCGUCGGUAUCGCGGCCGGGCACCCGCAUUCCCGGGGCGUCUCAACGGCCCGUCGUUGAUGCGGACAGUCGUCUCUCGGGGCGGCUGUCGGUCGGCGACGAACCGA
rnacentral:rRNA from 1 species